UACGGAGGGAGCUAGCGUUGUUCGGAAUUACUGGGCGUAAAGCGCACGUAGGCGGCUUUGUAAGUUAGAGGUGAAAGCCCGGGGCUCAACCCCGGAAUUGCCUUUAAGACUGCAUCGCUUGAAUCCGGGAGAGGUGAGUGGAAUUCCGAGUGUAGAGGUGAAAUUCGUAGAUAUUCGCAAGAACACCAGUGGCGAAGGCGGCUCACUGGCCCGAUACUGACGCUGAGGCACGAAAGCGUGGGGAGCAAACAGG
rnacentral:rRNA from 1 species